rnacentral:rRNA from 1 species
UUGGUGUGAAUUGCAGAAUUCAGUGAAUCAUCGAAUCUUUGAACGCACCUUGCGCUCCCUGGUAUUCCGGGGAGCAUGCCUGUUUGAGUGUCAUGGUAUUCUCAACCUUCAUAACUUUUGUUAUCGAAGGCUUGGACUUGGAGGUUGUGCUGGCUUCUAGUUAAGUCGGCUCCUCUUAAAUGUAUUAGCGUGAGUGUAACGGAUCGCUUCGGUGUGAUAAUUAUCUGCGCCGUGGUCGUGAAGUAACAUAAGCUUGCGCUUCUAACCGUCCUUCAGUUGGACAAUUACUUUGACAUCUGACCUCAAAUCAGGUAGGACUACCCGCUGAACUUAAGCAUAUCAA